AUGUGCUGUUUUUUCUAAUCCAGCACAGUGUGUAUUUUCCAGUUCAAGUCUACUAGUUUUUAAAAGAUGAGAAAAAAAAUCCUGCCCAGUAGCUCUCUGACCAUUUUCCCUUGGGGAAACAGGGAAUGAACUCAGCUGAAAGGUAAUGCUCGAUUGUCUAGCUGAGUAGAUGUAGUAGGGUCUCAAAAGCUGACAUGGCAGGUCCUCACCAGGCUUGUGCCCCAGCUGCCUUCCUCCCCUAGGUUUGAAAACCUCCAGCAGAAACUGGAGCAGACCACAGCCCAGAAUGAGAGCAUCCUGCAGAUGGAGCUGCUGAAGCAGAAACACUAUGUCUCAGCACCUGUUAAGAAGACUAAGAAGGCUGGAAGAAGCCAGAGACACCUUGAAGGCAUGACAUUCUACACUGCAGGUUCAAGGUUUCCCCAGAAAAUGCCACCUCUUUUCAGCUUUUAACUCAAUAGUGAGGCAAAUAUCAACCUACCAUCAGGUGAUCCAGCCACAAUCAGAUCCACAUCUGUAGGCUCACUAUCCUUGGAGAAACGUUUGUGUCAGUAACAAGUCUAAUAUACAGAGAACACAACACAAAUUACUAAGAACUCUGACUCCAUAUGUGAUGGGAAAUCUGACAAGGAAGACGGUGUUAAUGUCACAUUGCCCUCCAGACAGACCACAUCAAAAGCAUAAGAUUCUCUCUCUAGUACAGUGCAGAAGCUGAGGCCAUGUCAUGGGCAAGUGUUGCUAAAGAUAAUUUACUAUAGAGAAUAAGCCAGUUCCUUCCUUCUUUUGCUCUUCCAUAAUGAAAUUCCAAAGGAAACUGAAAUUUCCUUCAUUUUUGGUUUUAUAUCUUGGUAUAUUUAUUCUUUGCUUUUUGGUUUUCCUCAUUUUUAUUUAAGGUUGGGUUAAUUUUUGUUAUACUUUUCUUCUUGUCAUUGUUUUAAUAGUUUGCUAAGGCUAUAUACUGUUUAUAAUGACUGCUGUUUUGGAAAACCCCAUUGAGUAAAAUGAAUGUAUUUUUAUGAAUAAAAUAAAUUUCAAACUUUUCA